UCUUUGGUUAAACCUCCUUCUCUUCUUGACAGCUCUCCCAGGUAAUAUUUCUCUCACUGGAAACUCUGGAGACUUGCACACUUUUCUACACAGGUUUCCGCUGAUGUUCUUUCCUCCAUUUUUUUAGGCUGUCACUCAGAGGUUCAGUUGGUGGAGACUGGAGGAGGAGCUGUAGCUCCUGGUGGCUCCCUCCGCCUCUCCUGCAAGGCUUCAGGAUUCACCUUUACUAGUUAUGAAAUCCACUGGAUUCGUCAGGCUCCUGGGAAAGGACUGGACUGGGUGGCUGGAGUAAGUGGUUCAGGAAGUAGCCAAUGGUAUAAUUCCAAAGUUCAGGGACGCUUCACCAUCUCCAGAGACAAUUCUCAAACUUCAGCCUAUUUGCAAAUGAGCAGCUUGAAGCCUGAAGACUCUGCCUUGUAUUACUGUGCAAGAGA